UCGUAGUUGGAUUCCUGGCCUGGGGUAGCCGGUCCGCCUUGCAAAAGGUGCGCACUGUGCGGCCUCGGCCAUCCUUGAGAAGAGCUGUUCUGGCAUUCAGUUGUCGGGGCGGGGAUUCUCGACGUUUACUGUGAAAAAAUCAGAGUGUUCAAAGCAGGCUUACGCCUUGAAUACAUUAGCAUGGAAUAAUGAGAUAGGACCUUGGCGGUCUAUUUUGUUGGUUUGCACGCCGAGGUAAUGAUUAAAAGGGACGGUUGGGGUUCUUCCUAUUCAAUUGUCAGAGGUGAAAUUCUUGGAUUUAUGGAAGACGAACUGCUGCGAAAGCGUCGAACAAGGACGUUCUCAUUAAUCAAGAACGAAAGUUAGGGGAUCGAAGAUGAUUAGAUACCAUCGUAGUCUUAACCAUAAACUAUGCCGAUUCAGGAUUGGCGGUCGUUUGUUCUCGACUCCGUCAGCACUGUAUGAGAAAUCAAAAUCUUUGGGUUCCGGGGGGAGUAUGGUC
rnacentral:rRNA from 1 species